CAUAGUUGUCGAAGCUGCAGGAACUUGAGAUCAUUUGCAGGCCGUGAACAAAAUGGGUAGGGAGCUUCAGACAAUGUCGUCUCUAAAGAAGGGGAGUGAGAAUAAGGACUAGGCAGCAAUUUUUUCUCUGCCCUUCUCGCUGCUGGGAAUACUCAAGUGCCACUGUGAAGGAGACAGAAACUUAAAGCCUCCAGAUUGUUCCUAUGCCAGAUAGGCCCUGAAACCCAGAGGUACCAGUCUCUCCAAGAAUAUCAACCAGUUUCAUUCCUGUACCACACAGUGGUGACACACCUUUUCAACAUGAAGGAUUUAGAAUUCUCAUUGCCCAGAUAUCCCUGAAGAUUGAGAGAAUGAUCAAACGAGAGGAAGGAGUU